AGAGUUUGAUCCUGGCUCAGAAUUCAACGCUGGCGGCGUGCCUAACACAUGCAAGUCGAACGAGAAAGUGGAGCAAUCCAUGAGUAAAGUGGCGCACGGGUGAGUAACACGUGACUAACCUACCUCCGAGUGGGGAAUAACCCCGGGAAACCGGGGCUAACACCGCAUAACACUGAAAAGUCAAAUGCGUAAGCAGCUUGGAGAGGGGGUCGCGGUUGAUUAGCUAGUUGGUAGGGUAAUGGCCUACCAAGGCAAUGAUCAAUAGCCGGCCUGAGAGGGCGCACGGCCACACUGGAACUGAAACACGGUCCAGACUCCUACGGGAGGCAGCAGUGGAGUAUGUUGCGCAGUGGAGAAAACGCUGACGCAGCGCCGCCGCGUGGAGGAAGUAGUUUGGUAGGAUAACUACUCUCUAUCGGCGAGAAUAUGACGACCGCCCCAGAAGAAGCACCGGCUAACUCUGCGCCAGCAGCCGCCGCAAUAC
rnacentral:rRNA from 1 species